UUCACUGAAGUGUGAUUGACUUGGAGUUACAUUGUGUUGUUUAAAUGUUCCCUUAAUUUUUUUGAGCAGUGUAAUUCUGGCCACAUGUUGACUCAGUGGUGCUUCUCCGUGCAGGUCGUGGGACCGGGGAGAGAUGCACACUCUGUAAACAGGAAUAGGUGCAUCCCCUGUUACUAAGCUGGCAAACAUUAAGCGUGUGCCCUUGGGCCACUACUCUACUACCACAUGUCUACAACACAAAAUCCUUGUGUGUGCAUGUGUCUCUUCACAGUCCCCGCUGUUACAUCUGCCACCCGGCUCGGUGUGUGACAGGGAACCGUCUUUCCACCAAGCUGUUCCAGGCCUGGAGUGGCAGGCGGGAACUUCCAGAGUCUUGUAGACCUGAAGCAGUGUUAUGUGGUCCAGAUCUGACACCCCUAUUAGCUCAACCACAGUCUUCACAGCUGCAGGCGUCUGCUCCAGCAUCUGCUACACCGGCCACGACGCGUGAUAGAGGUAAUUAGGUGGAACUGUGUUAGAGCUGGCAAAUCCACAAGCUGCU